rnacentral:rRNA from 1 species
GAUGAACGCUGGCGGCGUGCCUAAUACAUGCAAGUCGAGCGAACAGACGAGGAGCUUGCUCCUCUGACGUUAGCGGCGGACGGGUGAGUAACACGUGGAUAACCUACCUAUAAGACUGGGAUAACUUCGGGAAACCGGAGCUAAUACCGGAUAAUAUAUUGAACCGCAUGGUUCAAUAGUGAAAGACGGUUUUGCUGUCACUUAUAGAUGGAUCCGCGCCGCAUUAGUUAGUUGGUAAGGUAACGGCUUACCAAGGCAACGAUGCGUAGCCGACCUGAGAGGAGGAUCAGCCAAACUGGAAAGGAGACACGGUCCAGACUCCUCCGGGAGGCAGAAGAGGGGAAUAUUGGAAAAUGGGGGAAAGCAUGAGGAAGACAUACCGGGUGGGUGAAGAAGGCUUUGGAGUUGUAAAGUCUUUUUGUUGGGAAAGAAAAGUAGGAAGUUAACACCGCGCGGUUCUGACGGGACUCAAAGAAUAAGCACCGGCUAACUUCGU